GGAUAGCUCAAUCAGUAAACUAUUAGACUCUUAAAUCUCAGGGUUGUGGGUUCGAGCCCCAGACUUGGCA